rfam:Zootermopsis nevadensis contig21211, whole genome shotgun sequence.
GCCACGGUGGUCUAGCGGUUAGAACGCUGGGCUUGUAAUCCUGGGGUCUCGGGUUCGAUUCCCGGCGGUGCCC